CUUAAUCAAUAGACCAUCCAAAAAACAUACAUAAUAAAGUAGUAUGUUUAUCAUACAAAAUUAGUAACAUAAUUGAUACUAAGAAAAAUUUUCAAUUAUUAGUGCAUGCUAAGCCUAAGUGAUACAUAGGAAACAGAAGUCACAUCCUAAGUAAGAAGAUGCGGUCAGAUUCAAAACAGAAACCAAUGGUAUAGAUGAACAAGGCCCAGGAAGGCAAUGCCAUUCUUGAAUGCAUUUGUGAGUGUCAAUGGGUCCUUUGGAUGUGUGUUGGGGCUUGAAUCAUGACCAGAAUAAAGAAACCUGAAGCUUGGCUACAUCUCAAGCAUUGCAGUUGUGUAAAUCAUUUCAGGGCCCCUUUCUAGACAAGAUGCAGAAUGUGCCAGCCACACCUGUAGUCCUUUCCUCUGUAGGAACUUCGACAAUAUGAAAACAAGCUGCAUCAUGGCAUUGACAUCAUUGGCUUAGAUCUUCAAAGAGGACACUUUCACAAGGGUGAGAUGGACUGCUGAA
rnacentral:lncRNA from 1 species